rnacentral:tRNA from 1 species
GCCCCCAUGGUGUAGUCCGGCCAAUCAUCCAGCCUUUUCGAGGCUGGGACGUGGGUUCGAAUCCCGCUGGGGGCA